rnacentral:rRNA from 1 species
UUAGUCCUACGGGAGGCAGCAGUGAGGAAUAUUGGUCAAUGGGCGCGAGCCUGAACCAGCCAAGUCGCGUGAGGGAAGACGGUCCUAUGGAUUGUAAACCUCUUUUGUCGGGGAGCAAAGGACGCCACGCGUGGCGUUCCGAGAGUACCCGAAGAAAAAGCAUCGGCUAACUCCGUGCCAGCAGCCGCGGUAAUACGGAGGAUGCGAGCGUUAUCCGGAUUUAUUGGGUUUAAAGGGUGCGCAGGCGGAAGAUCAAGUCAGCGGUAAAAUUGAGAGGCUCAACCUCUUCGAGCCGUUGAAACUGG